GAUUGCUAAGAUUAAGGUUUUAGCAACAAGGCUUGAAUAAUUCAAGAGAGUUUAAUUCCUUCACUUAGUUUAAAAAGUGUAAACACAUAAACAAUG
rnacentral:sRNA from 12 species